rnacentral:lncRNA from 1 species
UGGAAGGGAACCGCUGCACGUGAUCAUUCCCACAGCACGAGACUUCCCACGUGCUUAAAUUAAAACGGGGCCCUAUGCGUUCUCCCAUUCGGGCUAUCAACAGCCAUGAAGCUCAGCGUAAAGCAACAUUUUUUGGCGAGUUACUACUGUACAUUUUGUUUUCCUCUCCCUCCCUGGCACAGCAAUUUCCCCUCUGGGGACAGAGAACGUGCCAGACAAAUGCUGCCUCUGGCACAGAAACCAACGACAAACAAAACGCGCCUCGUUCACGUUCCAAUGGAGUAGGUGCUCUGGGGACGGGGAACGCUCCAAUUGAAUUCCACCUGGCGUGCUGGUGGCAACAGGAAGGCUGCCAGAGAGCCGGCGCGCUCCUCGCCCCACGGCCUGGGGCAGGCCUGUGUGCCACGGCCCGGCAUCUUCGUGUUCUACCAACUGGAGGUGGAUUGCUGGGGUCAUCACGACGGCAGAUCGGAGAUUCAGAGCACUGUGGCCUCUGCCUGGCACAGCUCAUUAAAACAAACCUGCUGGAAGCGGAGCGUGGAACAAGGAGACACGAGCAGCCUCCUGCCAGAUGUGCUUUCUGACACACAGCGGGAGGCCAGGGAAGAAAAGAGGGCUUUUCAGUGACCAGCCAGUCCAGCCAGUGCCCAAACACCGCUCUCCCUCUAUCUCCCAGAAACAUCAUCUGAUCCAGAACAUCAAUAAACGCCGCUAUUUACUCAGACUCCGAGCAUCUUCGAACAGGAAUACUCAGACAGAGGGACGUUGAGUGCCUAAGGGGAGGCAGGCUCUGGAUGCCACGCAGAACGAGCCGGCACUGUCACGUUCCCCAAAGGCUGCAGAGCUGACGGAUGGCAGAUCUGGCAGAUAGAGCCUGUGAGACUUCAUGCGAGCGCAAGCAAAGCUCACAAAGGAUCUAUCCAGAAGAAAUGGGUUAAGCCACCUUUACGUGAGCCCCCUGCGAGGUUCCACGGAGGACCAGCGGCAUUUUAGCAUCUGCAGAUCCAUCCACUGGAUGUGCACAGUGACUGGGCCUCUGGCUAUGCUCUGCACUCGUCCCUGCCCCUCCUGCUGGGUGACAACCGCGCUUCAGAAAAUCCCAGGGGAACCAACAACCCAGCUGGGGGGGUCAGGAGGCAAAGCAGCACUUGCCACGCUCAGGGAAAGCUCUGCUGGGUGCUGUUAGGAAUGCUGUGUGCUCGGGUGCAAGUGAACCACCCGCCCUUUGGCACCCCGAUGCUCCAUAGGAUUUGAACAGUCGGGGAGACGGGAAUGACUUUGUUCACUCGCCACGUCCGUGCUCUCAG